UACGGGGGGUGCGAGCGUUGUUCGGAAUUACUGGGCGUAAAGCGCACGUAGGCGGCGUCUUAAGUCAGGGGUGAAAUCCUGGAGCUCAACUCCAGAACUGCCUUUGAUACUGAGAUGCUUGAGUCCGGGAGAGGUGAGUGGAACUGCGAGUGUAGAGGUGAAAUUCGUAGAUAUUCGCAAGAACACCAGUGGCGAAGGCGGCUCACUGGCCCGGUACUGACGCUGAGGUGCGAAAGCGUGGGGAGCAACAGG
rnacentral:rRNA from 1 species